GCCGGGGGGGGGGAUGUUGGGCCCCCCCGGUGCCGCGACGCCAGAGGGGUCCCACCACCACCACAUCUGGCACGUGCAGUACACAUAUGGCAUAUGCAGUGUGCGGUGGUGUGGGAUGUGCAGUGUGUGUGCAGUGUGUGUGCAGUGUGUGCAGUGUGUGUGUGCAGCGUGUAUGUGCAGUGCAUGCAGUGCGCGUGGUGUGCAGUGUGUGUGCAGUGCUUGCAGCGAGUGUGUGCAGUGUGUGCCCACAGUGUGUGCAGUGCGUGCCUGCAGUGCGUGCAGUGUGUGUGCAGUGUGCAGUGUGUGCGCAGCAUGUGCAGUGUGUACGCAGCAUAUGCACGGUCUGCAGCAUGUAGGGGGGGUGUGUUGUGCACAGGGUGUGCAGCAUGCAGCGUGCACACAGCAUGCAGUGAGUGCAGCGGCUGGGGUGGGCAGUGUUUGCUCAACAUGCAGUGUGCACACAGACAGAUGUGCAAGCAGGGUGCGCAGGGUGCAGUGUGGGAGCAGUGUGCAGGCAGUGUCUGCAACGUGUGCAGUGUGUGUGCAGUGCAUGGCGUGUGUGUGCACAGUGUACAUGCAACGUGUACGGUGUGUGUGCAGUGUGAGCAGUGCAAGCAGUGUGAGAAGCGUGUGCAGUGUGAGCAGUGCAAGCAGUGUGAGCAGUGUGAGCAGUCUGUACAGUGAGUAUUGUGAGCAGUGCAAGCAGCGUGUGCAGUGCAUGCAAUGAGAGCAGUGUGAGCAGUACAUGCAGUGUGAACAGCACACGUAGUGCGAGCAGUGCGAGCAGUGCAAGCAGUGUGAGCAGUGUGAGCAGUGCGAGCAGUCCAUGCAGUGCGAGCAGUGGGAGCAGCACAACGUGCAGCCCUGCGGGGGGGGGGCACAGCCGUGGCUUUCCCACGGGCAGGCGGGGGCAGCCUGGGGGCUGGGCCCCCCCCAGCAGGGGCCGGGCCCCCCGGGGCGGGGCGGGGCGAGGCGAGGCCGCCCCCUGCCCGCCCCCGCCGCCGGGGCCGCCUCCCGCGGGCGCGCAUGUGCCCGCGGCACGGCUCCGCACCGCUCUCCCGGGAGCUUCGCAGCUGGCACCCGAGCCGUGCCGGGCCGUGCCUGGCCGUGCCAAGCCGUGCCUGGCCGUGCCGGGCCGUGCCGAGCCGUGCCGGGCCGUGCCAUGGCCCCGCCGUGCGCCGGGGCGCUGCGCUGCGCGCUCCUUUGCGCGUUCCUUUGCGCGCUGCUGUGCGCGCAGGGCCCCGCUGCCACCCGCGCAGGAGAAUGCGGCGAGCUGCGAUCCUGCCAGACAUGCACCGCCGGCACCGCCUCGCCCAACGGCUCCGCCUGCGUCUGGGUGGGCUGCGGGGCGCCCCAGGAGCCAGAGACCUGGAGCUGCGUGCAGAGAGGGGCGGCAGCACGGGGGACGUGCGUGCUCUACAACACCACCGCCCUGUGCCCAGGUAACCCCAGACCCCCAAAGGAGCCCGGCCUUUGGGCUGGGGGGGGGGCGAAAUCCCGGGAGGCGAUGUCCCUCGGCACCUCGUCUUCCCCCUUUUUCUCUGUCGCUUCCAGCAGCGCUGAAAUCCCCCACCAAAGAGCCCCCACGGCCCCCUAGCAAGGAGCCGGUGACGCAUUCGCCACGUGAGUGGGGUUGGGGGGCUGGGGGGCCAGGAGGGGGGGGGCAAUGAUGGGAUGGGACCGGCCUCUUCCCUCUGCAUCCCCUGGGGAGGGAUGAGCGCUGCCCCCCUCUUGGGGUUGCACUGAUGGAGGUUACACCGUGGCUGUGCCCACAGGGUGCCAGCCCCGUCCCCAUGGUCACAGCUCGGUCCCUGGCCCCCCUUUUUUUUUCCCCUUUUUUCCUUGCCGGGGGGGGCACGGGGAGGACAGCAGCAGGUGAAGGGGCUGGGAGCGGAGGAGCCUCUUCCAGGAAACGGGAUCUGGAGGGCACGGGGCUCGCUGCGGCCGUAACCGGAGCCGCUGCCCUCUGAAUUAUUGAUGCCAGCGGGCUGCUCCGGCACGGGAGGGGGCUGAGGGGGGGGCACAUCCCUGCCUUUCCUCCCUC
ensembl:lncRNA